rnacentral:lncRNA from 1 species
CACACGAUGCAUCCAUCAUAGAAAUACUGAACUAGUUGCCAUUUGAGGAUAGUGUGGUGGGGGUAUUUACGAAUAAGGUCUCUUAACCUUUCGCAUGUCUUAUGAAAAAGUUCACUAUCCAAUUGGAAAAAACUAGUGGUGGCUUUUCUAAUUAGAUUUAUUUUUUUAAUUGAAAAAUAUUUCUUGAGAAAUUUUCUAUGAAGAUGGUUUCAAGUUGAAAUGGUUAUGGAAUCUAGAGAAUUUAACCAAUGCUUGACUUUAUCCUUAAGUGAAAAAAGAAACAGUUUUAACCUGAGGGCA